GAAUUUUCCGCAAUGGGCGAAAGCCUGACGGAGCAACGCCGCGUGGGUGAUGAAGAUUUUCGGAUCGUAAAGCCCUUUCAGCAGGGACGAAUACAAUGACGGUACCUGCAGAAGAAGCAUCGGCUAACUACGUGCCAGCAGCCGCGGUAAUACGUAGGAUGCAAGCGUUGUCCGGAAUUAUUGGGCGUAAAGCGAACGUAGGCGGUUACUUAAGUUUGGUCUUAAAGACCGGGGCUCAACUCCGGGAAUGGACUGAAUACUGGGUGACUAGAGGAUGUCAGAGGAAAGUGGAAUUCCAAGUGUAGCGGUGAAAUGCGUAGAUAUUUGGAGGAACACCAGUGGCGAAAGCGGCUUUCUGGGACAUUCCUGACGCUGAGGUUCGAAAGCUCGGGGAGCAAACAG
rnacentral:rRNA from 1 species